rnacentral:rRNA from 1 species
GAUGAACGCUAGCGGCAGGCUUAAUACAUGCAAGUCGUGGGGCAGCAGGGUGGUAGCAAUACCACUGCUGGCGACCGGCAAACGGGUGCGGAACACGUACGCAAUCUACCCAGAACUGGUGCAUAGCCCUCCGAAAGGAGGAUUAAUACACCGUAACACUGUGAAGUGGCAUCACCUUACAGUUAUAGCUCCGGCGGUUUUGGAUGAGCGUGCGGCUGAUUAGGUAGUUGGUUGAGGUAACGGCUCACUAAGCCUGCGAUCAGUAACUGGUGGGGGAGCACGCCCAAGCACAAGGGCACUGAGGCACGGGCCCGACUCCUGCGGGAGACAGCAGUAAUGAAUAUUAGGCAAUGGACGCAAGUCUGAACCAGCCAUGCCGCGUGGAGGAUGAAGGUCCUCUGGAUUGUAUACUUCUUUUAUUUGGGAAGAAAUCUAUCUUUUCUUGGAUAGUUGACGGUACCAGAUGAAUAAGCACCGGCUAACUCCGUGCCAGCCGCCGCAGUAACAC